rnacentral:rRNA from 1 species
CCGACGGUGAGAGGCGAAAGCUGGGGGCACGAACCGGAUUAGAUACCCGGGUAGUCCCAGCCGUAAACGAUGCUCGCUAGGUGUCUGGGAUGGUGCGACCGUUUCAGGUGCCGCAGGGAAGCCGUGAAGCGAGCCACCUGGGAAGUACGGCCGCAAGGCUGAAACUUAAAGGAGUUGGCGGGGGAGCACUACAACGGGUGGAGCCUGCGGUUUAAUUGGACUCAACGCCGGAAAACUCACCUGGGGC